UACGUAGGUGGCAAGCGUUGUUCGGAAUUAUUGGGCGUAAAGGGCGCGUAGGCGGGAUGGCAAGUCAGUCGUGAAAUUCCCGGGCUCAACCUGGGAAUUGCAUUCGAGACUGAAUAGCUAGGGUACGGUAGAGGGAAGUGGAAUUUCCGGUGUAGCGGUGAAAUGCGUAGAUAUCGGAAGGAACAUCAGUGGCGAAAGCGAGUCUCUGGACGACUCCUGACACUGAGGCACGAAAGCUGGGGGAGCAAACAGG
rnacentral:rRNA from 1 species